UGAAUACGAGAUGCUACGGCGUCGAAGCAGUCUAUGUCAUACUUCCAAGAAAAGCUUGCACUGUCAUAAACAAAUAAUGCCUGUACCAUAACCGACACAGGUGGGUAGGUAGAGUAUACUAAGGGGCGCGAGAUAACUCUCUCUAAGGAACUCGGCAAAAUGACUCCGUAACUUCGGGAGAAGGAGUGCCUUAUUUUAUAAGGUUGCAAUAACAAGAUCCAAGCAACUGUUUACCAAAAACACAGGUCUCCGCUAAGUCGUAAGACGAUGUAUGGGGGCUGACGCCUGCCCAGUGCCAGAAGGUUAAAGAAGUUGGUUAGCAUCCGCGAAGCUGAUAACUGAAGCCCUGGUGAACGGCGGCCGUAACGAUAACGGUCCUAAGGUAGCGAAAUUCCUUGUCGGGUAAGUUCCGACCCGCACGAAAGGCGUAAUGAUUUGGAUACUGUCUCAGAGAGGGGCUCGGUGAAAUAGACUUGUCUGUGAAGAUGCGGACUACCUGCACCAGGACAGAAAGACCCUAUGAAGCUUUACUGUAACUUGAAAUUGAAAUUGGACUUUACUUGCGCAGUAUAGGUGGGAGGCGUUGAGAAUAUUCUUGCGGGAAUGUUGGAGCCAUCAGUGAGAUACCACUCUUGUAAUGUUAGAUUUCUAACUUUGUAUCAUUAUCUGGUCAAAGGACAGUUUCAGGCGGGCAGUUUGACUGGGGCGGUCGCCUCCCAAACGGUAACGGAGGCGCACAAAGGUUUCCUCUGAACGGGUAGAAAUCGUAUCUAGAGUGUAAAGGCAUAAGGAAGCUUGACUGUGAGACCUACAAGUCGAGCAGGGACGAAAGUCGGUCUUAGUGAUCUGACGGUGCUGAGUGGAAAGGCCGUCACUCAACGGAUAAAAGUUACUCUAAGGAUAACAGGCUGAUCUCCCCCAAGAGUUCACAUCGACGGGGAGGUUUGGCACCUCGAUGUCGGCUCAUCGCAUCCUGGGGCGGUAGUACGUCCCAAGGGUUGGGCUGUUCGCCCAUGAAAGCGGUACGCGAGCUGGGUUCAGAACGUCGUGAGACAGUUCGGUCCAUAUCCGGUGUAGGCGUUAGAAUAUUGAGAGGAGCCUUCUUUAGUACGAGAGGACCGAGAAGGACAUACCUCUGGUGUACCAGUUAUCGUGCCAACGGUAAACGCUGGGUAGCUAUGUAUGGAGUGGAUAACCGCUGAAAGCAUCUAAGUGGGAAGCCCACCUCAAGAUAAGUAUUCUCGU
rnacentral:rRNA from 1 species